CCCUUAGAUGUCCUGGGCCGCACGCGCGCUACACUGAGUGUCUGAGAUACGAGUCUGCCCGGUCCGGCAAGGUCUAGGUAAUCGCUAAAAGACACAUCAUGCUUGGGAUAGAUUAUUGCAAAUAUUAAUCUUGAACGAGGAAUUCCUAGUAAGCGCAAGUCAACAGCUUGCGUUGAUUACGUCCCUGCCCUUUGUACACACCGCCCGUCGCUACUACUGAUUGGAUGUUUAAGCGAGGUUCUCGAACUGCUAGCGACUUAGCUUCGGUGAGGUCGCAGUGUGGGAAGUGAACCUAGCUUUGGUGUCUAGAGGAAGUAAAAGUCGUAACA
rnacentral:rRNA from 1 species